UUACGGCCACAUCACGUUGAAACACCCGUUCACUGAAGUUAAGUAACGUUGAGCCUAGUCAUUACCUAGAUGGGUGACCGCUUGGGAAUAUCAGGUGCUGCAAU